rnacentral:misc_RNA from 1 species
GAGUACCCAAUAAUCCACAAAAUGGUUGCUCUUCUGCAUAUUAAAUUCUCAAAUCUACCAUUCUAAUGAUUCUGAAGAUGAAACAAAAUUCAAAAUGUUCACAAUACUCUGAAUCAAGCACCAUCUUUGCAAAGGAUUAAAAUGAUAGGAACGAUUCAAAAUACUCAAACUUUUUAUUUCAACCCAAGACCAGCAGAUCCGCAACUCAGUGAUGUGUCUUGGCUUCAGACUUCUUAUGCGACUUU